rnacentral:lncRNA from 1 species
CACGUCUGUCCGUCUGAGUGCGCGCGCACCUCAGCCCUGCUUUUUGAUACAAAGUCCUCAAAAGCGGCCCCCUCUCCAAGAUCACCGGGUGUCAGCUGUCCAGAAGGGGGAACGCGUCAGACUUGGCCAACUGAGGCUGGGCUGGACCCCUAUUGUGGAAUCGCGGACACUUCCUACAGUUGUCGAACGCAAUCCGUCUACACCACCUUGUGUCACUACCUACCACCAUGGGUUUGGAGCUCUACCUGGACCUGCUGUCGCAGCCCAGCCGCGCGGUCUACAUCUUCGCCAAGAAGAAUGGCAUCCCCUUUCAGUUGCGUACCGUGGAUUUACUCAAAGGUUGGCCCAUUUACCCCUAGACCAUGUUAGUUCUUCACAUUCUGCCUGGGUACAAUCCCCCUAUCAUCUGACACCCCCUCCCCCCAUAGGAAUGCUCUGCGUUCAGAGCCCUCUUUAAACUUAACUUGUACUCUAACAAGAGAGACUUUCAGUCCUGAGAUGUGGGGGAGAAAAAAGUGAAGGAUCCCCACCGUUCCUGCUUUGAAGGCACGCAGUGUGUGCUGGAAAGCGAGAGUUGACUCUAGGAAUGCUGCCUGAGCCCUUGCAUACAUUUUCUGGCUUCUUCUUUCCCAGGGCAGCACUUGAGCGAGCAAUUCUCCCAGGUGAACUGCUUAAAGAAAGUGCCUGUCCUCAAAGACGGAAGCUUCGUGUUGACCGAAAGGUGCAGCUGUAAAUAAACCCAGAGCCCUCACUACCUCCCCUCAGCUUCCUUUGGACGCCCCGCUUCGGUCGGGUGGGGAUGGGGUUGAU